rnacentral:rRNA from 1 species
CCUACGGGAGGCAGCAGCAAGGAAUCUUGGGCAAUGGGCGAAAGCCUGACCCAGCAACGCCGCGGGGGGGAAGAAGGCCUUCGGGUUGUAAACCCCUUUUCUCAGGGAAGAGGAAGGACGGUACCUGAGGAAUAAGCCUCGGCCAACUACGUGCCAGCAGCCGCGGUAAUACGUAGGAGGCGAGUGUUAUCCGGAUUUACUGGGCGUAAAGAGCGCGCGGGCGGCUUUUCAAGUCAGGGGUGAAAUCUCUUGGCUCAACCGAGAGGGGUACCCUGAUACUGAGAGGCUUGAGGGCAGCAGAGGAAAGCGAAAUUCCGGGUGUAGCGGUAAAAUGCGUAGAUAUCGGGAGGAACACCAGUGGCGAGGGCGGCUUUCGGGGCUGUACCUGACGCUGAGGCGCGAAAGCGUGGGGAGCAAACGGGAUCAGAUCCCCGGGUAGU